ACUAGUGGACUGGAGGAGGCUGCUUGAAGAUCAAACUCAAAGGCCAAGGAAGCUGCUUGUAGAUCAAACUAAUAUCGACAGGGUAUCCAAGAAGGUUGGUAUGAUGGAGGAAGCAUUGCGUUUCCAGUGAUUCUUGUCACAACUGUCAGUGACUACAAACAGCAUCUCCAUUUUCAAAACUUGAGUGAUGAAAAGAGAAACAUACAUCUAGAGGUGACAAGAGGUGGAAGACGAGUGGAUAUUUCAAUCUAUGACACAUUGUGGUGGGUGAUGUCAUACCUCUCAACAUUGGAAAGCAGGUUCUUGCGGAUGGAGUGCUUAUAUAUGGCCACUCUCUUGCCCUUGAUGAGAUCUUGAUGAGUUUAGCAUGACUGGAGAGAGCAAAAUCGUGUGUAUUUUUCUUGUUUCCUAUCAUAAUGAAAAUUGUUGACUUUCUCGUCCCGCUAUAUGGUGAGUCAAGAGGUGGUGGUACAGCUUUGAGUGUCGAGGCAUCGGGGAAACCGAUUGUACUGGUAAGAUGUGGAGAGCGAAUGUAGGAUCCUGAACCCUUUUAUUCUGAUCGAAUGGCUGAACGAAUUCUAUGAAUGGCAACAGAAGCUGUAAGUUCCUAAUGGGAGAUGUGCUUUUGUAGAGAAGGCAACAGAAGCUCUGAUGAAGCCACGGUUGGAGUCCAUCCAGGAGGAAAUGCAAAACAAGGGCAUGGACUCCGUUACGAUGGCAGAAGGUAAUAAAAAGAUGAAGAAUUUUUUUAAAGAUUUACAGAUAUGGUGUCACUCCAAUGAAAGGGAUGCUUAUUCAGGGAGCUCUGUUCCUCUGCUUUUUUCUUGCUAUUCUAAAUAUGGCAGAGCAUUCCAAACAGGAGGGGCAUUGUGGUUUACCGAUCUAACAACUCCCGACAGCUUAUACAUCUUGCCGGUUAUAACAGGACUGACAUUCUUGAUAACCGUUGAGUGAUUAAGCGUCCUCAAGUGAAGAAGAUGUUGCGCAUACCUGAACUGCCUCCCAAGUCCUCCCAAGUCCUCCAGGUCAACAACCAUCAUUUGACCUGUUUUCAGCUCUGAAGAAAAUGAAAGCCAUGACGCAGAACCAGACACUGCCACUUCGCCAGCUGUAAACCCGAUCGAGGGCAACAUCGCCAGCUUCUUACGUUGAGUCCUGUAAGUAAGAAGCUCAAGGCUUUGGAAAGCCAAGUAAAGGGAAGGAAGAAGAACAGCUUACAGCAGCAAGAAGAGGUGUUCGAUCCAAAGUGGUGCAUACUAUUUUUUGCUAAGAGAAAAAUUUAACGAAGAUUUUCGAUUCAAAAAGUGGUGCAUACUGUUACUAGCUACACACAGAGAUUUUUAUCAUGAGAGCUGAAAAGCUGGAAAAUUAUGUGUUGUUUGGAACGAUGAUAUUGUUUUGUUUUGAUCAAAUAGAGAAUAUAAUACUGUUUCUUACAGAAACAUUUUGUUGAAUAACAGACACUCUUUUAAUAAUCUUGUUAAGUAAACAACAACGAAACCUGAAAUAAAUUGGAUAGUUUUGAACAA